AAACGACUCUCGGCAACGGAUAUCUCGGCUCUCGCAUCGAUGAAGAACGUAGCGAAAUGCGAUACUUGGUGUGAAUUGCAGAAUCCCGUGAACCAUCGAGUCUUUGAACGCAAGUUGCGCCCGACGCCUUUUGGCUGAGGGCACGUCUGCCUGGGUGUCACGC
rnacentral:rRNA from 1 species